CAAGAAACAAAAGGUAGUCAGAUCUUCAAUGCCCACUAAGAGGUCUCCUUAGGUUCAACUGAAUGUGCAAAUUCACGGGACAACCAUAGGCCAUCCUGAGCACCUGUCCACCCAGAAUAUUACAGGACAAGAACUAAUGCAGUUUCAGUAAUUGAAGCUGAGGAUCCAGAAGUCACCUUCACAGAAAUUCCUCAUCACACCCUCCUGUUACUCCCAAAACAAGUCAUAGAGUCCAGAUUCUGUAGUGUCGUCAGCCCUCCAACUCCCGCUGAACUGGUGUUUAAGGUGCGAGGAUAAUCAUACCUAUUAAGUUAUCACAGAACUAGAGGACCUUGGAAUACGCUUCGCUAAACAACAGUAGAAAGCUGUAAAAUAGAAGAAACGUAUCAAUCCCUGAAAAAUGCACAAGUGAAACUUCAUUUCUAUUUAAGAGAUGCCAAUCUGCUGUAAAAGCAUGGUCUGCUGUACCUGAGAAUGCGAGAAAAUUAAGUUCAAGAUCACCUGAUGAAGUACCUUCAUCAAUUUUCAACUUCAAGCAUUGGCAGAAUUCAUCAACUGUUAUGUGGUACGCUGUUUAUUUAAUGAAGACUUGUACAUAUCU
rnacentral:lncRNA from 1 species